rnacentral:rRNA from 1 species
GGGGGGGGCAAGCGUUGUUCGGAAUUACUGGGCGUAAAGGGCGCGUAGGCUGCUCGCUAAGUCGGGUGUGAAAACUCUGGGCUCAACCCAGAGCCUGCACUCGAAACUGACGAGCUAGAGUUCUGGAGGGGAAAGCGGAAUUCCUGGUGUAGCGGUGAAAUGCGUAGAUAUCAGGAGGAACACCGGUGGCGAAGGCGGCUUUCUGGACAGAAACUGACGCUGAGGCGCGAAAGCUAGGGGAGCAAACAGGAUUAGAUACCCUGGUAGUCCUAGCCCUAAACGAUGGAUACUUGCUGUGAGGGGGAUUGAAUCCCUUCGUGGCGAAGCUAACGCAUUAAGUAUCCCGCCUGGGGAGUACGGUCGCAAGGCUGAA